AGGUGAGUAGCUCAACUGGUUAGAGCAUCGGUCUCCAAAACCGAAGGUUGCGGGUUCGAGUCCUGCCUCACCUG
rnacentral:tRNA from 1 species